rnacentral:rRNA from 1 species
GGUUAAGCGACUAAGCGUACACGGUGGAUGCCCUGGCAGUCAGAGGCGAUGAAGGACGUGCUAAUCUGCGAAAAGCGUCGGUAAGGUGAUAUGAACCGUUAUAGCCGGCGAUGUCCGAAUGGGGAAACCCAGUG